UAAGGAAUAUUGGUCAAUGGAGGCAACUCUGAACCAGCCAUGCCGCGUGCAGGAAGACGGCCCUCUGGGUUGUAAACUGCUUUUGUACGGGAAGAAACACUCCUACGUGUAGGAGCUUGACGGUACCGUAAGAAUAAGGAUCGGCUAACUCCGUGCCAGCAGCCGCGGUAAUAUGGAGGAUCCAAGCGUUAUCCGGAUUUAUUGGGUUUAAAGGGUGCGUAGGCGGCCUAUUAAGUCAGGGGUGAAAGACGGUAGCUCAACUAUCGCAGUGCCCUUGAUACUGAUGGGCUUGAAUGAACUAGAGGUAGGCGGAAUGUGACAAGUAGCGGUGAAAUGCAUAGAUAUGUCACAGAACACCGAUUGCGAAGGCAGCUUACUAUGGUUUUAUUGACGCUGAGGCACGAAAGCGUGGGGAUCAAACA
rnacentral:rRNA from 1 species